rnacentral:rRNA from 1 species
AGAGUUUGAUCCUGGCUCAGGAUGAACGCUGGCGGCGUGCCUAAUACAUGCAAGUCGAGCGAACGGACGAGAAGCUUGCUUCUCUGAUGUUAGCGGCGGACGGGUGAGUAACACGUGGAUAACCUACCUAUAAGACUGGGAUAACUUCGGGAAACCGGAGCUAAUACCGGAUAAUAUUUUGAACCGCAUGGUUCAAAAGUGAAAGACGGUCUUGCUGUCACUUAUAGAUGGAUCCGCGCUGCAUUAGCUAGUUGGUAAGGUAACGGCUUACCAAGGCAACGAUGCAUAGCCGACCUGAGAGGGUGAUCGGCCACACUGGAACUGAGACACGGUCCAGACUCCUACGGGAGGCAGCAGUAGGGAAUCUUCCGCAAUGGGCGAAAGCCUGACGGAGCAACGCCGCGUGAGUGAUGAAGGUCUUUGGAUCGUAAAACUCUGUUAUUAGGGAAGAACAUAUGUGUAAGUAACUGUGCACAUCUUGACGGUACCUAAUCAGAAAGCCACGGCUAACUACGUGCCAGCAGCCGCGGUAAUACGUAGGUGGCAAGCGUUAUCCGGAAUUAUUGGGCGUAAAGCGCGCGUAGGCGGUUUUUUAAGUCUGAUGUGAAAGCCCACGGCUCAACCGUGGAGGGUCAUUGGAAACUGGAAAACUUGAGUGCAGAAGAGGAAAGUGGAAUUCCAUGUGUAGCGGUGAAAUGCGCAGAGAUAUGGAGGAACACCAGUGGCGAAGGCGACUUUCUGGUCUGUAACUGACGCUGAUGUGCGAAAGCGUGGGGAUCAAACAGGAUUAGAUACCCUGGUAGUCCACGCCGUAAACGAUGAGUGCUAAGUGUUAGGGGGUUUCCGCCCCUUAGUGCUGCAGCUAACGCAUUAAGCACUCCGCCUGGGGAGUACGACCGCAAGGUUGAAACUCAAAGGAAUUGACGGGGACCCGCACAAGCGGUGGAGCAUGUGGUUUAAUUCGAAGCAACGCGAAGAACCUUACCAAAUCUUGACAUCCUUUGACAACUCUAGAGAUAGAGCCUUCCCCUUCGGGGGACAAAGUGACAGGUGGUGCAUGGUUGUCGUCAGCUCGUGUCGUGAGAUGUUGGGUUAAGUCCCGCAACGAGCGCAACCCUUAAGCUUAGUUGCCAUCAUUAAGUUGGGCACUCUAAGUUGACUGCCGGUGACAAACCGGAGGAAGGUGGGGAUGACGUCAAAUCAUCAUGCCCCUUAUGAUUUGGGCUACACACGUGCUACAAUGGACAAUACAAAGGGCAGCGAAACCGCGAGGUCAAGCAAAUCCCAUAAAGUUGUUCUCAGUUCGGAUUGUAGUCUGCAACUCGACUACAUGAAGCUGGAAUCGCUAGUAAUCGUAGAUCAGCAUGCUACGGUGAAUACGUUCCCGGGUCUUGUACACACCGCCCGUCACACCACGAGAGUUUGUAACACCCGAAGCCGGUGGAGUAACCUUUUAGGAGCUAGCCGUCGAAGGUGGGACAAAUGAUUGGGGUGAAGUCGUAACAAGGUAGCCGUAUCGGAAGGUGCGGCUGGAUCACCU